UACAGAGGGUGCAAGCGUUAAUCGGAUUUACUGGGCGUAAAGGGCGCGUAGGUGGUUAUUUAAGUGAGAUGUGAAAUCCCCGGGCUUAACCUGGGAACUGCAUCUUAUACUGGGUAACUGGAGUGCAAUAGAGGGUAGUGGAAUUUCCGGUGUAGCGGUGAAAUGCGUAGAUAUCUGGAGGAACACCGGUGGCGAAGGCGGCAUCCUGGACCGACACUGACGCUGAGGCGCGAAAGCUAGGGUAGCAAACGGG
rnacentral:rRNA from 1 species